rnacentral:misc_RNA from 1 species
GAUGAAGAACGCAGCGAAAUGCAAUACUUGGUGUGAAUUGCAGAAUCCCGUGAACCAUCGAGUUUUUGAACGCAAGUUGCGCCCGAAGCCGUUAGGCCGAGGGCACGCCUGCCUGGGUGUCACACAUCGUUGCCCCAAUGCCAAUCGCCUCACUUUGUAGGUAUUUGCUUGGGGUGAAUGUUGGCCUCCCGUGAGCUUUGUCUCACGGUUGGUUGAAAAUCGAGUGCAUGGUGUCGGGUGUACCAUGAUGGAUGGUGGUUGAGUGAUGAUGCUCGGUGACCCACAUGCGUCCCUUGGAUGCUCCCUAAGGAGACCUCAGGUCAGGCGGGGCUACCCACUGAGUUUAAGCAUAUCAAUAAGCGGAGGA